UCAAGGAUAACAGGGCGAUCCUCUUUUGGCAGGGAGAUCUUGCAUUUGCAUUAUGCACUUUGCCAAAGGAGAAUUGCCCUGCCAUUCAUUC
rnacentral:pre_miRNA from 1 species